CAACUACUCCCUCUGUCCCAAAUUUCUUGUCUUAGAUUUGUCUAGAUACGGAUGUAUUCAUACAUCCGUAUCUAGACAAAUCCAAGACAAGAAUUUUGGGACUGAGGGAGUACUUU
rnacentral:pre_miRNA from 1 species